GCCGGGAUUCCCGAGCCUGGUACGGGGCAGGCCUGGAGAGCCUGUGGCCUUUUUGAGGCCUCGUGGGUUCAAAUCCCACUCCCGGCGCCA
rnacentral:tRNA from 1 species